AGUUGCUGAUGCUAGUGCCGAGCUAAUUUUGGAGUUCUGCGUGGCAGUAGCUGCAGCCAGGGCUGCUGCUAGUCCAGCAACGGAGAGAAGAGUGUGAGUGUGUGCAUUUUCCAUACGCGCCUUAUCUUUCUUUUUCAAAGUGUUACUAUCUAUGCUCUCCUUGUGGUGAAACAACCUUCCAAUUGCUCCGCCUCUUAUUCGCCCGUUUACUGGUUUCAUGGACUGCACAUGAGUUUGCACACAGUUAGGAUUAUUCACUCCAUCUACAUAUUUGUGUGUGUACAUUGAUGGAAAUCAAUAGAGGCUUACGAGACUUUGUGGAGUGAAUGUUUCAUGGAUAAUGCUGAGAUUAUUGUCGAAUGCAGGUCGCAUCUGCUUGGUAGCAAGUGCUUUUGAUAAUUCAUCUGCGGAGAGACUCCAAGACCUUGACAAGAACACCAUUGGCUCCUUAGGCGUUUCUGGCUGUGGUAUUGCAGGUAAUGCCGCUUCUCCUUUGAGCUUGUCGUUGUCUUCUUCUACGUGCUUCUUCCACCAUGGUAGUUGAUUGCUUUCCAUUUCGAUUAAUAUAAGUGGAACUGGAACACCUGAGCAUAGAUUUAUCAAUGAAUGAUUCCCAGGUCAUGAGAGAGAGAGAGAGAGAGGUGCAUACCUUUGGAUGUUUGAUGAAUGAGUAUAGUUAAGAUUGUUGUGAGAGAUUGGGUAGUUGAUACUUAUAGAUAAUGCAAAGAGAGACAUAAUGCUAGAAAAGAAUACAUGAGUGGCGCCUCGUGCUUGAAACUUGCCAUGAAAUCUGCUGUUUUACUUAUAAUAUUCGUCGCCA
rnacentral:lncRNA from 1 species